GUGAGUAAUACAUCGGAACGUGCCCUGUAGUGGGGGAUAACUAGUCGAAAGAUUAGCUAAUACCGCAUACGACCUGAGGGUGAAAGCGGGGGACCGCAAGGCCUCGCGCUACAGGAGCGGCCGAUGUCUGAUUAGCUAGUUGGUGGGGUAAGAGCCUACCAAGGCGACGAUCAGUAGCUGGUCUGAGAGGACGAUCAGCCACACUGGGACUGAGACACGGCCCAGACUCCUACGGGAGGCAGCAGUGGGGAAUUUUGGACAAUGGGGGCAACCCUGAUCCAGCAAUGCCGCGUGUGUGAAGAAGGCCUUCGGGUUGUAAAGCACUUUUGUCCGGAAAGAAAUGGCCUGGGAGAAUACCCCGGGUCGAUGACGGUACCGGAAGAAAAGCACCGGCUAACUACGUGCCAGCAGCCCGCGGUAAUACGUAGGGUGCGAGCGUAAAUCCGGAAUUACUGGGCGUAAAAGCGUGCCCAGGCGGUUUUGUAAGACAGGUCGUGAAAUC
rnacentral:rRNA from 1 species